rnacentral:rRNA from 1 species
AAAACCUGUCUCUUAUAUAAAUAGGAUUGAAUUUAAUUUUUUAAUUAAAAAGUUAAAAUUUUUUAGAAAGACGAGAAGACCCUAUAGAGUUUUAUAAAUUAUUUUAUUUAAAUUUUUUUAUUAUAAUUAUAAUUGAAUUAAUAUUAUUUUAUUGGGGUGAUAAAAAAAUUAAUUUAACUUUUUUUUAGUAAAAACAUUAAUAAGUGAUUCUAUGAUCCAAUUUUAUUGAUUAAAAGAAAAAAUUACCUUAGGGAUAACAGCGUAAUUUUUUUUUUUAGUUCAAAUAAAAAAAAGAGUUUGCGACCUCGAUGUUGGAUCAGGACAA